rnacentral:rRNA from 1 species
GGUUCGACGAAGGCUCAGAUUGAACGCUGGCGGGAUGCUUUACACAUGCAAGUCGAACGGCAGCACGGACUUCGGUCUGGUGGCGAGUGGCGAACGGGUGAGUAAUGUAUCGGAACGUGCCUAGUAGCGGGGGAUAACUACGCGAAAGCGUAGCUAAUACCGCAUACGCCCUUCGGGGAAAGCGGGGACUCGGGCCUCGCACUAUUAGAGCGGCCGAUAUCGGAUUAGCUAGUUGGUGGGGUAACGGCUCACCAAGGCGACGAUCCGUAGCUGGUUUGAGAGGACGACCAGCCACACUGGGACUGAGACACGGCUCAGACUCUACGGAGGCAGCAGUGGGGAAUUUUGGACAAUGGGGAAUCCCGAUCCAGCCAUCCCGCGUGUGCGAUGAAGGCCUUCGGGUUGUAAAGCACUUUUGGCAGGAAAGAAACGGCACGGGAUAAUACCCCGUGCAACUGACGGUACCUGCAGAAUAAGCACCGGCUAACUACGUGCCAGCAGCUGCGGUAAUACGUAGGGUGCAAGCGUUAAUCGGAAUUACUGGGCGGUAAGCGUGCGGCAGGCGCUGGAAAGAAAGAUGUGAAAUCCCAGAGCUUAACUUUGGAACUGCAUUUUUAACUACCGAGCUAGAGUGUGUCAGAGGGAGGUGGAAUUCCGCGUGUAGCAGUGAAAUGCGUAAAGAUAUGCGGAGGAACACCGAUGGCGAAGUGCAGCCUCCUGGGAUAACACUGACGCUCAUGCACGAAAGCGUGGGAGUAAACAGGAUUAGAUACCCGGUGAAUUCACGCCCUAAACGAUGUCAACUAGCUGUUGGGGCUCGGCCUUGCAGUAGCGCAGCUAACGCGUGAAGUUGACCGCCUGGGGAGUACGGUCGCAAGAUUAAAACUCAAAGGAAUUGACGGGGACCCGCACAAGCGGUGGAUGAUGUGGAUUAAUUCGAUGCAACGCGAAAAACCUUACCUACCCUUGACAUGUCUGGAAUCCCGAAGAGAUUUGGGAGUGCCGCAGAGAACCUGAACACAGGUGCUGCAUGGCUGUCGUCAGCUCGUGUCGUGAGAUGUUGGGUUAAGUCCCGCGCAACGAGCGCAACCUCUUAUUAGUUGCUACGAAAGGGCACUCUAAUGAGAUCGCCGGUGACAAACCGGAGGAAGGUGGGGAUGACGUCAAGUCCUCAUGGCCCUUAUGGGUAGGGGCUUCACACGUCAUACAAUGGUCGGGACAGAGGGUCGCCAACCCGCGAGGGGGAGCCAAUCCCAGAAACCCGACGUAGUCCGGAUCGCAGUCUGCAACCUCGACUGCGAAGUCGGAAUCGCUAGUAAUCGCGGAUCAGCAUGUCGCGGUGAAUACGUUCCCGGGUCUUGUACACACCGCCCGCCACACCAUGGGAGUGGGUUUUACUCAGAAGUAGUUAGCCUAACCGUAAGGAGGGCGAUUACCACGGUAGGAUUCAUGACUGGGGUGAAGUCGUAACAAGGUAG